rnacentral:rRNA from 1 species
AGGGGCAGCAUUCACUUCGGUGAGAUGGCGACCGGCGCACGGGUGCGUAACGCGUAUGCAACCUACCCUUUACUGCGGGAUAGCCCGGGGAAACCCGGAUUAAUACCGCAUGGUACCAAUUGAGGGCAUCUAAAGAUGGUUAAAGAUUUAUCGGUAAAGGAUGGGCAUGCGUGACAUUAGUUAGUUGGUGAGGCAACGGCUCACCAAGACGACGAUGUCUAGGGGUUCUGAGAGGAUGAUCCCCCACACUGGCACUGAGAUACGGGCCAGACUCCUACGGGAGGCAGCAGUAGGGAAUAUUGGUCAAUGGGCGCAAGCCUGAACCAGCCAUGCCGCGUGCAGGAAGACGGCCUUCUGGGUUGUAAACUGCUUUUAUCAGGGAACAAAAAGCUCCUGCGGGAGAAAUUGCGUGUACCUGAAGAAUAAGGACCGGCUAACUCCGUGCCAGCAGCCGCGGUAAUACGGAGGGUCCAAGCGUUGUCCGGAUUUAUUGGGUUUAAAGGGUGCGUAGGCGGCCUUAUAAGUCAGUGGUGAAAUCCUUCGGCUCAACCGGAGAACUGCCAUUGAAACUGUAAGGCUUGAGUACAGACGAGGUAGGCGGAAUUUAUGGUGUAGCGGUGAAAUGCAUAGAUACCAUAAAGAACACCUAUAGCGAAGGCAGCUUACUAGACUGUAACUGACGCUGAGGCACGAAAGCGUGGGGAGCGAACAGGAUUAGAUACCCUGGUAGUCCACGCCGUAAACGAUGAUUACUCGAUGUGUGCGAUAGACAGUACGCGUCCAAGCGAAAGCGUUAAGUAAUCCACCUGGGGAGUACGCUCGCAAGAGUGA